rnacentral:rRNA from 1 species
CCUACGGGGGGCAGCAGUGGGGAAUAUUGGACAAUGGGGGGAACCCUGAUCCAGCCAUGCCGCGUGUGUGAAGAAGGCCCUCGGGUUGUAAAGCACUUUCAGUGAGGAAGAACGCCUGGUGGUUAAUACCCAUCAGGAAAGACAUCACUCACAGAAGAAGCACCGGCUAACUCCGUGCCAGCAGCCGCGGUAAUACGGAGGGUGCGAGCGUUAAUCGGAAUUACUGGGCGUAAAGCGCGCGUAGGUGGCUUGAUAAGCCGGUUGUGAAAGCCCCGGGCUCAACCUGGGAACGGCAUCCGGAACUGGCAAGGUAGAGUGCAGGAGAGGAAGGUAGAAUUGCUGGUGUAGCGGUGAAAUGCGGAGAGAUCGGGAGGAAUAGCAGUGGCGAAGGCGGCCUUCUGGACUGACACUGACACUGAGGUGCGAAAGCGUGGGUAGCAAACAGGAUGAGAGAGCCGUGGAGUC